rnacentral:rRNA from 1 species
GGAGUCCGACCCUUUACGAAGGGGAAGUAGAGAGCAUCAAGCUUCCAAGAAAAGCCCUAAAACCGUUAAUUUACCAACGCCUGUACCCGAAACCGACACAGGUAGGGAGGUUGAGAAAACUCAGGGGCGCGAGAUAACUCUCUCUAAGGAACUCGGCAAAAUGGCUCCGUAACUUCGGGAGAAGGAGUGCUUACGCAAGUAAGCCGCAGUGAAGAGGCCCAGGCGACUGUUUACCAAAAACACAGGUCUCCGCCAACUCGUAAGAGGAAGUAUGGGGGCUGACGCCUGCCCAGUGCCGGAAGGUUAAGGAAGUCGGUCAGGCGCAAGCUAAAGCUGAUGACUGAAGCCCCGGUGAACGGCGGCCGUAACUAUAACGGUCCUAAGGUAGCGAAAUUCCUUGUCGGGUAAGUUCCGACCCGCACGAAAGGCGUAACGAUCUGGGCACUGUCUCGGAGAGAGACUCGGCGAAAUAGAAUUGUCUGUGAAGAUACGGACUACCUGCACCUGGACAGAAAGACCCUAUGAAGCUUUACUGUAUCCUGGAAUUGGGUUCGGGCUUUGCUUGCGCAGUAUAGGUGGGAGGCGUGGAAGUCAUCCUUGUGGGGAUGAUGGAGCCAUCGGUGAGAUACCACUCUAGUAGAGCUAGAAUUCUAACUCUGACCCGUGAAUCCGGGUUGAAGACAGUUUCAGGGGGGCAGUUUGACUGGGGCGGUCGCCUCCUAAAAGGUAACGGAGGCGCGCAAAGGUUCCCUCAGAAUGGUUGGAAAUCAUUCGCAGAGUGUAAAGGCAUAAGGGAGCUUGACUGUGAGACCUACAAGUCGAACAGGGUGGAAACACGGCCUUAGUGAUCCGACGGUACUGUGUGGAAAGGCCGUCGCUCAACGGAUAAAAGUUACUCUAGGAUAACAGGCUGAUCUCCCCCAAGAGUUCACAUCGACGGGGAGGUUUGGCACCUCGAUGUCGGCUCAUCGCAACCUGGGGCGGAAGUACGUCCCAAGGGUUGGGCUGUUCGCCCAUUAAAGCGGUACGUGAGCUGGGUUCAGAACCUCGUGAGACAGUUCGGUCCAUAUCCGGUGCAGGCGCAAGAGCAUUGAGAGGAGCCUUCCCUAGUACGAGAGGACCGGGAAGGACGCACCGCUGGUGUACCUGUUAUCGUGCCAACGGUAAACGCAGGGUAGCUAUGUGCGGAGUGGAUAACCGCUGAAAGCAUCUAAGUGGGAAGCCCACCUCAAGAUGAUUGCUCUCACCACUUUUUGUGGGUAAGGUCACGGGCAGAACACCCGUUUAUAGGUGUUAGGUCGAAGUCCAGCGUUGGAUGUAGCCGAGACACACUAACAGACCGAGGGCUUG